rnacentral:piRNA from 2 species
UCCCUACCCAGAGGAUCUCUACUUGGGUC